CGAUCAUGACGUUUCUUUCCCAUCGUGAACAUCAUUCAGGGUCAUUCUUCACAGCUCCUCCAAGCCUAUGACGUCCAAGUAAUUGCGGGAUGUUUGCCUCCAUAAUACAAGGCGCUACUUGUCGGUAAACAGAUUAGAACUCCUCAGAAGGCCCAGAAUUUCCUGAAAGUAUCAUAGGUCAACUCACCUGAGCGUGCGAGAAGGACCAACCCUAGUGCUAGCAGCAUCCAUUCAAGCCUGGAGGACAUUCUGAUGGGCGAACACGGAGAGUUCGAUGCUUUCGUCGUCGAAUUCGAUGGAUGCUCGUCGCGACUGGUCGCAAAAACAAACACGGAUGCUCGUUGCUCCAAGGAGUGAUGUCACUGGCGUUCGGAAUUAGACGGAAAGGAACUGACCAGCGUCACGGAACGUGUUCACCACGAUACUGAAGAGGCAACACCCCCUUUUUGCCGUGAGUACACACGUUCUCCUUUAUUCCCCUGUGCUCCCUCUCCCUGGCUGCGUCUCCACUCCUCUCGUCGACGGCACGCGGCUAACGUGGACCAGCGUAAUAACGCGUGUCGUGCCUAAUAACCUCAUAACCCCUCCGCGGCACGAUGCAAUCGCCAGGAAGUAGGAGUCAAGAGCAAACAACGAGUCGAAGGAGCCUACUUGAGCUGAACGCAAGAGACGAAACAAUAAUUGCGGCCGGAGGGAGGGAGAUGCCAGAGCACGCGGCCCUCAUUGGACUCAUUAGGACAAUUACGGGCCCGUAGAACGCUCUUGGGAUCUUUCGAGGUGGAAACCAGAGUAUGCUGGAAACUGAAGUUACGCAUUCGUGCGGUUCGACAGGAUUUUUCGGAUUGCGGCCAGAGGAAGAUUGAAGAAAUUACUCGAAUAACGUGGAUACGGAGAUUAGGAGCAGGACGAGUCCCAACUGUUGCGACACGAAUAAAUGGUAGGAUCCUUGACCGUUGCAAGCGUAAUCGUUGCAAAAGGAACACGUGAUGCUGGAGUUUGGGAAGUACUCCUCGUGCUGGCAGUAUCCAUCGAUUUCGCGUGACGGCACGCAACCUCGCACCGUCACUAGGACGUCCCUAUCUGCAUCAUUAAGGAAAUAGUUGCUUCAUCGCCACGUCACUUUCAAGGAUCAGUUUCGCGCAGGCCAUGGGUGCAACAGCCUGGUACUGCUGCGACGAGUGCGAGGUGUCGACUUCGAAGAUGCGAGAUAUUGUACUCAAACUUUUGUGCUGUAGUACGGUCCGUUGCCAGUCGGCCAUAUGUGUCA